CCUACGGGAGGCAGCAGUAGGGAAUAUUGCUCAAUGGGGGAAACCCUGAAGCAGCGACGCCGCGUGAAUGAUGAAGGUUUUCGGAUUGUAAAGUCCUUUUGGUAGAGAAGAUAAUGACGGUAUCUAACUAAUAAGCACCGGCUAACUCCGUGCCAGCAGCCGCGGUAAUACGGAGGGUGCAAGCGUUAUUCGGAUUCACUGGGCGUAAAGAGCGCGUAGGCGGGAUAGCAAGUCAGAUGUGAAAUCCUAUGGCUUAACCAUAGAACUGCAUUUGAAACUGUUAUGCUAGAGUAUAGGAGAGGUAGGUGGAAUUCUUGGUGUAGGGGUAAAAUGCGUAGA
rnacentral:rRNA from 1 species